GAGUUUGAUCCUGGCUCAGAUUGAACGCUGGCGGCAGGCCUAACACAUGCAAGUCGGGCGGUAGAGAGAAGCUUGCUUCUCUUGAGAGCGGCGGACGGGUGAGUAAUGCCUAGGAAUCUGCCUGGUAGUGGGGGAUAACGCUCGGAAACGGACGCUAAUACCGCAUACGUCCUACGGGAGAAAGCAGGGGACCUUCGGGCCUUGCGCUAUCAGAUGAGCCUAGGUCGGAUUAGCUAGUUGGUGAGGUAAUGGCUCACCAAGGCGACGAUCCGUAACUGGUCUGAGAGGAUGAUCAGUCACACUGGAACUGAGACACGGUCCAGACUCCUACGGGAGGCAGCAGUGGGGAAUAUUGGACAAUGGGCGAAAGCCUGAUCCAGCCAUGCCGCGUGUGUGAAGAAGGUCUUCGGAUUGUAAAGCACUUUAAGUUGGGAGGAAGGGCAGUAAAUUAAUACUUUGCUGUUUUGACGUUACCGACAGAAUAAGCACCGGCUAACUCUGUGCCAGCAG
rnacentral:rRNA from 1 species